AACGUAGGAGGCGAGCGUUAUCCGGAUUCACUGGGCGUAAAGCGCGUGUAGGUGGUUCGUUAAGUCGCUGGUGAAAGCCCCUGGCUCAACUGGGGGAGGUCUGGCGAAACUGGCGGACUCGAGGGUCCGAGAGGAAGGUGGAAUUCCCGGUGUAGCGGUGGAAUGCGUAGAGAUCGGGAGGAACACCAGUGGCGAAGGCGGCCUUCUGGCGGGCAUCUGACACUGAGACGCGAAAGCGUGGGGAGCAAACGGG
rnacentral:rRNA from 1 species